AAGUAAAAGGUUGGUAACAAGGGUUCCGUAGGUGGAACCUGGCGGAAGGAUCAUUA
rnacentral:rRNA from 1 species